rnacentral:snoRNA from 1 species
UAAGAUGAUGAGGCCGAGGACACCCGAGGAGCCCGAUGAGGACUCUUCGCUUCGCUGAUU